GCUCCUCAGAAGGUUUUCCUGACGUGAUGGAACAAUUGCCAUGCUUCGUUGCUGCAAAGUGCCCUGCCUUCACGUACUGACCUCAAGCAAGAGCGAGACAUGAAUGCUCCAGAUGCCACAUCUGAAAGAAAUGGUUGCCAAAGCACUCAAGAGAGGAAAUCUCCAGACUUAUCCGUAAGACUUUCCUCUUUGCCUUGGAAAAUUACCAAGCCGGAUAACUUCUCAAAAGUCAGAUUUUCAGAACCCCACAAAGCACAUGGAGUGCUUCCCUGUCACCUCCCUUUCAUGUAUGUUUUCGAUGUGAGCUGCACUGUUAAUGACUUUUUGUAAAUCCCGAGUUAUGGCUUGGAGAAAGGCGUGCUGCUAGGUGGUGAUAUGAUUUCACUGGGUUUCUUCGUCGCCACCAGGAACCUCACGCAGCCCGUGGGCACGCCAGAGCUCAGCAGUGAAAUGUUCAGAAGAGCCCAUUUAAACCUUGGCACCGCAUCGCUGCAUUUGGGGGAUUUGUAACCUUUGCCAGCUUAUCAUAAACACCAUGCUUCGGUGGCGCUUGCUGUGGCUGUAACACAGAUCGGCACCUUCUGACUUCUGCUGUCUCUGCUGACUUCAUUUCAGAGAUUUCAGCGGAGCACGGGCACGGUGAAAUCACCAUUCAGCAGAGCAGGGAGAAGCAACCUCAAACCAGCCCUUCCUCCUGAGAUGUGACCUCCCAAGCCACGUAGCAAUGAGUUCGGUACUGACCUUCACACAAAGUUUGGUGUCCCCAUGCCAUCCAAUUGCAUGUCAUUUCUGUUGGUUUUGUGAAGACUAAACAGAUGUCUCCCAUGGAAAGAAAACAAAACAGAAAACUGGAAGAGCAGGAGCCUUUCCCCAGCCUGGGGAGCCGGACCCAAGGGGGGAGGUCCCGUGCCCUGCUCCUGGUGGUUUUUCUGGAGGUUUUGUCUUAUUGUUCCUCCUGCCUUGGGGCAGGGGCUCCAGUCCUGCACUUCAGGGCCGGUCCAUCAAAGGAAGUGGUGGCCUUGUGGCCCAAGGCGAACAAGUCGAUGAGGCUUUACGAAGACCUUUGCAUUUCCAAAGCUGCAGCUGUAGCUGUGCUGCGUUCCUGCCUGGCUCCAGAUGGAAGUGUGUUAGCUUAAAUCACCGAGGCUGGCUUUAACUGGAAGGAUGAGCGGAGGAGAGCUGUGCCCCCUCUCUGACUGAUGCGCCGUGACACGGGGCGCAGAGGAAAUUUCAGCACUUUGUCACUCCCGCGGCCGACGGAGGCGCCGAGCCGGGGCUCCCCGUUGCGGGGUGGCAGCCCAGCACCCCAGCGCUGCCUGGGAAGUGUGCAGCCCGAUUUAGCAGGGCGCUAUGCAUCACUAAACAGCAUCUUUGGUUUAUUUUUUUGUUUGGCUGUGGGUUUUUUUUUUUGAGUGCGGCCGUGCCUGUACUACUCGGCUGGGAGACGUGAGUCACGCAGCGUGAAGCUGUGGGGCUGGAUGGUUGCCCGAGCCCCACGCGUGCGCUGAGUUUCGGCAGGGUUGAGCUGCCUGUCAGCCCCACUUGAGGCAGGUGCCAUCUUCUCAUGGUGCACAAACCUUGUUUCCCACUUCAGCAUCCCCUGCAGUUAUUUUCAUUGUGGUGUUCGUGGGAAAGACUUGUUUUUUCUUUUUGUGCUUCGGAGAAGUGUGUUCAGAGAGGAGUGACACAUCCGUGCCUCGUGUGGCUCUGAAUGCCUCAAUUUCCCUUGCUGUCAUCUCAAAGUGAGGACAUGGAGGAUCAAGCACACAAGUACAGUUUGGGGUAAUUUGGCACGAGAGAUGGUGCAGAAAUGCCCAGUGCAUCAUUAUGGGUGAUGCUGGAGUGAGAUGGGUCCAGAGGUGAUACCAGAGUGAGACGGGUCCAUGAUGCUGGAGCGAGAUGGGCCCAGUGGUGAUACUGGAGUGAGACGGGUCCUGCGGUGAUGCCUGGGAAUCAAUUUGAUUCCAGUUGGCCUUUCAUGUAAAGGAGGAGCAAACCAUCUGAAAUAUCACUGGGGAUAUAAAAGCCAAUGUGCAAUGA
rnacentral:lncRNA from 1 species